UGUGUGUGUGUGUGUGUGUGUGUGUGUGUGUGUGUGUGUGUGUGCGCGCGCGCACGCUCAGGGACUUACUCCAGAGAUCACUCCUAG
rnacentral:miRNA from 1 species